rnacentral:rRNA from 1 species
UACGGAGGGAGCUAGCGUUGUUCGGAAUUACUGGGCGUAAAGCGCGCGUAGGCGGCUUUGUAAGUUAGAGGUGAAAUCCCUGGGCUCAACCUGGGAAUGGCAGUGGAUACUGGACGGCUAGAAUGCGGUAGAGGGUAGUGGAAUUCCCGGUGUAGCAGUGAAAUGCGUAGAGAUCGGGAGGAACACCAGUGGCGAAGGCGGCUACCUGGACCAGCAUCGACACUCAAGCACGAAAGCGUGGGGAGCAAACAGG